AGAGUUUGAUCCUGGCUCAGGAUGAACGCUAGCGGCAGGCUUAACACAUGCAAGUCGAGGGGCAGCGGGGAGGAAGCUUGCUUUCUCCGCCGGCGAUCGGCGCACGGGUGAGUAACACGUAUGCAACCUGCCCCUGUCAGGGGGACAACCCGCCGAAAGGCGGGCUAAACCCGCGUACAUGCCACCGGGGCAUCCCGGAGGCAGGAAAGGCUUCGGCCGGACAGGGAUGGGCAUGCGGCGCAUUAGGCAGUAGGCGGGGUAACGGCCCACCUAACCGACGAUGCGUAGGGGUUCUGAGAGGAAGGUCCCCCACACUGGUACUGAGACACGGACCAGACUCCUACGGGAGGCAGCAGUGAGGAAUAUUGGUCAAUGGUCGGGAGACUGAACCAGCCAAGCCGCGUGAGGGAGGAAGGUACAGAGUAUCGUAAACCUCUUUUGUCAGGGAACAAAGGCGGGGACGUGUCCCCGGAUGAGUGUACCUGAAGAAAAAGCAUCGGCUAACUCCGUGCCAGCAGCCGCGGUAAUACGGAGGAUGCGAGCGUUAUCCGGAUUUAUUGGGUUUAAAGGGUGCGCAGGCGGUCUGUUAAGUCAGCGGUCAAAGCCCGGGGCUCAACCCCGGCCCGCCGUUGAAACUGGCAGUCUCGAGUUGGAGAGAAGUAUGCGGAAUGCGCGGUGUAGCGGUGAAAUGCAUAGAUAUCGCGCAGAACUCCGAUUGCGAAGGCAGCAUGCCGGCUCCACACUGACGCUGAGGCACGAAAGCGUGGGUAUCGAACAGGAUUAGAUACCCUGGUAGUCCACGCAGUAAACGAUGAAUGCUGGCUGUCCGGGGGGAUUGACCCCUGGGUGGCGAAGCGAAAGCGAUAAGCAUUCCACCUGGGGAGUACGCCGGCAACGGUGAAACUCAAAGGAAUUGACGGGGGCCCGCACAAGCGGAGGAACAUGUGGUUUAAUUCGAUGAUACGCGAGGAACCUUACCCGGGCUCAAACGGGGAGUGACUCAGGCAGAGACGCCUGUUUCCCACGGGACACUCCCCGAGGUGCUGCAUGGUUGUCGUCAGCUCGUGCCGUGAGGUGUCGGCUUAAGUGCCAUAACGAGCGCAACCCCCGCGUGCAGUUGCUAACAGAUAACGCUGAGGACUCUGCACGGACUGCCGGCGCAAGCCGCGAGGAAGGCGGGGAUGACGUCAAAUCGGCACGGCCCUGGCGUCCGGGGCGACACACGUGUUACAAUGGGUGGUACAGCGGGAAGCCAGGCGGCGACGCCGAGCGGAACCCGAAAUCCACUCUCAGUUCGGAUCGGAGUCUGCAACCCGACUCCGUGAAGCUGGAUUCGCUAGUAAUCGCGCAUCAGCCAUGGCGCGGUGAAUACGUUCCCGGGCCUUGCACACACCGCCCGUCA
rnacentral:rRNA from 1 species